AUGGCCAGCCGGUUCUCCAACGUCGACCCGGUGACGGCGGCCGACAUGCGGCGCCAAGGCCUCGACCCGCACGAGCUGGACCGGAGCACGGAGCAGCUCAUGUCGCUCAUCCACAGCAACCUCCCGGACCCGCCGGUCUCCACCACCGCCCGCCUCACCGCCUUCCGCGCGCGCCCCUCCGACGGCGUGGACCGCAUCAGCCGCCUCUCCGACGCGCUCCUCCGCGACAUCGUCUCCCGCCUCCCCGUCAAGGACGCCGCCCGCACCGCCGCGCUCGCCGCGCGCUGGCGCGGGGUAUGGCGCUCGACGCCGCUCGUCCUCGUCGACACCCACCUGGUCUCCUCCGCGCGCGCCAGCACGCCGGACGUCAUCGCGGCCGUCUCCCGCGUCCUCGCCGCGCACCAGGAGCCCUUCCGCUGCGUCCACCUCACCUGGAGCCGCAUGGGCGCGUACCAGGCCCAGCUCAAGCGCUGGCUCCGUCUCCUCGCCGCCAGGGGCGUCCAGGAGCUCGUCCUCGUCAACCGCCCGUGGCUCCGCGAGGUGCCCCUCCCCAAAACGCUCUUCACCAUCUCCACCCUCACCCGCCUCUACAUCGGAGUCUGGAAGUUCCCGGACGCGGCUGGCCUCCAAGGCGCCUCCUUUCCCCACCUCCGGGAGCUCGGCAUCUGCAGCGUCGCCAUGAAGGACGGGGACAUCGACGCCGUCGUCGCCAGGAACCCCGCCCUGGAGAUCCUCAACAUCCAAGGGAGCAUGAAGGGGGUGCAUCUCCGCCUCGUCAGCCACAGCCUCCGUUGCGUGCAGAUCUGCUCUUUCGUCAUGGAGAGCGUCAGCGUGUUGAACGCCCCGCGUCUGGAGCGUCUCAUCCUGUCAGAGUGUCUCAACCCUGCCGGCGGAUCGUGCAUCAGAGUAAAGAUUGGCAACGUCCCCAAGCUGAAAGUAUUCGGGUUCCUGGAGCCAGGAAAAUACGUGCUGGAGAUCCAAGACACCGUCAUCAUGGCUGGGAUUAAGACAAGUGCAAGCAUGAUGGUCACAAGCGUGAAUGUCCUUAGUAUGAAGGUGCGCUUCGGAGUCUACGACGAUGUCAAGAUGGUGCCCGCCUUCCUCAAAUGCUUCCCCAAUGUCGAGGCGCUGCAUAUUACGUCUGAAAAAUGUGAUCAACUCGCUGCCAAGUUCGACCUAAGUUCUGGGAAGAGGUUGGUCUCAUCGCAAGAUGAGCUUGCCUUCCUCCAGUACAUCUUGCAGCAUGCAAUGGUGCUCAAGUAUGCAGUGGUUCAGAUGGUCAAUCCAAAAUUCACUUCACUGUCCGUAGAUGAGAUGGCCUACACCAUAGACAAUAUGCAGCCUCCUCAAAAUUAA
rnacentral:rRNA from 1 species